AGUGAACGCUGGCGGUAGGCCUAACACAUGCAAGUCGAACGGCAGCACAGUAAGUGCUUGCUCUUACGGGUGGCGAGUGGCGGACGGGUGAGGAAUACAGCGGAAUCUACUUUUUCGUGGGGGCUAACGUGGGGAAACGUAAGAUAAUACCGCAUACGACCCACGGGUGAAAGCAGGGGAUCUUCUGAGCUUGCGCGACUGAAGGAGUCGAUGUCGGAUUCGCUAGGUGGUGGGGGAAUGGCGGAAUAAGGCGACGCUACGGCGAGGGUCUGAGAGGGUGAACAGACACCCUGGAACUGAGACAGGGCCCAGACACCUACGCGAGGCCGCAGUGGGGAAUAUUGGACAAAGGGCGAAAGCCUGAUCCAGCCCUACCGCGUGGGUGAAGAAGGCCUUCCGGUUGUAAAGCCCUUUUGUUUGGAAAGAAAAGCAGCAGGUUAAUCCCCCGCUGUUCUGACGGUACCCAACGAAUAAGCCCCGGCUAACUUCGUG
rnacentral:rRNA from 1 species